UCCUGCGCUGGUUCGUGAGUUUGCUGCGGUGACGUGGUGCAGCAGUGAGUGAAAUUUCGAAUCAUAAUCACAUAGGGAGUGUUCACUGGGGAAACGUCAGUGACGGUAUUUAUAUUAUUUGAAUUAUUACUUGAUAACGUGUCAACUUUUGCGUGUGUAUGUGUGUGUGUGUGUGUUGGUGGAGGAGCAGAGUCAGGUGGCGCUUGGCAAGGCGAGCGGCUGGCUGCAGUGUUUUGGCCGGCGCUGGUCAGUCUUGCCCCACACACUUUGGUAAUAAGUGUUUCCGUAUUCCCGGCUUCUUCUCCCUGUACCAAGCACCGCCACGCAUCCCCAGAGAGCCACAAGUACGUAAGUGUGCAGAGCUUGGAAUACCACACGGAGGGGGGUGAAGGAGCCUUGGGAAUCCCUGAAGGAGGGAGAGCGAAGGAGGGAGGCUUGGAGGUGAAGGAAAUGCAGAAAAUUCCUCUAAUAUUGAACGCUUCUCUGCUCAGACCAUCCUUCAUUGAAUAUUUGAGCUGAGGCUUCGAGAUACGAGUGUGCAGAGCUUGGGAUACCACACGGAGGGGGGUGAAGGAGCCUUGGGGAUGCCUGAAGGAGGGAGGCUUGGAGGUGAAGAAAAUGCAGAAAAUUCCUCUAAUACUGAAUGCUUCUCUGCUCAGACCUUCCUUCAUUGAAUAUUUGAGCUGAGGCUUCGAGAUACGAGUGUGCAGAGCUUGGAAUACCACACGGAGGGGGGUGAAGGAGCCUUGGGAAUCCCUGAAGGAGGGAGAGCGAAGGAGGGAGGCUUGGAGGUGAAGGAAAUGCAGAAAAUUCCUCUAAUAUUGAACGCUUCUCUGCUCAGACCACCCUUCAUUGAAUAUUUGAGCUGAGGCUUCGAGAUACGAGUGUGCAGAGCUUGGGAUACCACACGGAGGGGGGUGAAGGAGCCUUGGGGAUGCCUGAAGGAGGGAGGCUUGGAGGUGAAGGAAAUGCAGAAAAUUCCUCUAAUACUGAAUGCUUCUCUGCUCAGACCUUCCUUCAUUGAAUAUUUGAGCUGAGGCUUCGAGAUACGAGGGUGCAGAGCUUGGGAUACCACACGGAGGGGGUGAAGGAGCCUUGGGGAUGCCUGAAGUAGGGGCAGUGAAGGAGGGAGGCCUGGAGGUGAAGGAAAUGCAGAAAAUUCCUUCAAUACUGAGCGCUUCUCUGGUUAGACUUCACUGAAUAUUUCGACUGAGGCUUCGAGAUACGAGAUGAGAAUUAUUUUUUUAGUGUUUGAAGGCAGUUUUACGUGGUUAUAGGUGUUUUUAGGCUGCUUUAAUGUUGUUUUGAGUAUUUUAGGUUUGUUGAAGGAAGGAGAAAGCUUAAAUACAGUUAUAACGCCGAAAAAAGGCUUAAAUUGAGAGUUUUAAAGUCAGCCUAGCGUUUAUUAAAGUGUUUUAAGUAUUUUAAGUUACCAGAAGAGAGGAAGCUUAAAUUUAAUAUUACGAUAAGGAAAAAGCUUAUUUCAUGCGUUAGGAAGAAAGAAAAGGUUAACAUUAUUGACACUUUAUCAAUUUCUUUCGAUUUUAUAUUCAGUUUAUUUAUUGAUCGUUAUCUUUUAAUUUCAUUUCUUUAUUUUCUUUAUUUUUCGCUCGUUUUCAUAAUAGGAGUGUUUAAUUUUAUAUAUAUUUUUCAUUUUCUUUUCACUUCUUGGACUUAAUAUCCAGUUUAUUUAUUUAUUAUUACUUGUAAGUGUGUCUAAACACUUGCAAAGAUAAUUUAUUUAUUUAUUUAUUGAUUUUUAUUUUCAGUCAGUUUGUUUUUUUGUAAUGAAAACUUGUUAUUUGAUCUAUAUUCCCUUUUUCUGUUACUUGUUCGUGCCAGAGGUGACAAUAAACAUUAAAAUUA